rnacentral:rRNA from 1 species
CACGUAGGGGGCAAGCGUUGUCCGGAUUUAUUGGGCGUAAAGAGCUCGUAGGCGGUUCGAUAAGUCGGGUGUGAAACCUCCAGGCUCAACCUGGAGACGCCAUCCGAUACUGUUGUGACUUGAGUCCGGUAGGGGAGCGUGGAAUUCCUGGUGUAGCGGUGAAAUGCACAGAUAUCAGGAGGAACACCAGCGGCGAAGGCGGCGCUCUGGGCCGGUACUGACGCUGAGGAGCGAAAGCGUGGGUAGCAAACAGG